UAUUUGUGUUAGUUUUUAUAUUAUUUUAGUUCUAAAUUUGAAGAUUGUGAUCUUGAAAUAUUAAAAUAUUAAUUAAAUUAUUUGAUAUUAUUUUUUCGUCGCUCAAAAUAGACGUCACACUGCGGAAGCGGGUAUACCCGCUGAAACGCCGUCUAUUUUGAGCGACUUUCAAGCCCGGCAAAGCCAAUGGAGAAACAUGCUGCGUGGGAGGUAUCACUGGCAGUGGAGGUCUAUUCCUGAUCCAGAGAAGGCCAUGCCAGGAAAUGAGUGAUAACGAAACACAGUGGCCCAAAACAGCAGGACAUCCAGACCUGCUGUGUUCCACAAAGGGAUGAUGGGAAUUUGACCCGGUGAACAGUCUGCUUUUGCCAGAUCGUCGCCACCCAUGCCUCGUUCCUGUACUCCCGUAGUCUUGAUCGUGAACCCUGGAUUACCGACAUCCCCCUGUCCUUCGACCAACCCUUUACCGCUGCUAUACUUGACUGUCUGCCUGAUCCCCGACCUUGGAACAAAUAAACACUUCCCAAACUGCCUCUGCAUCUCCGGAGUCCUGCAUUUGGGUCCUCCUCCGUACCGAUGGGUCGUGACACCUGUUGCCUCUGUUAAGUGUUAUGGAUUAAGUUUUACAGUCUGUACAUUUGUAGUCUAGUACUAGAAUCACCGUUAUUUUCAAAUCAAUAGCCAUUGGGACAACUUCUAAUCUUUCUCCAGAUUUUCAGUUAUUUGGGAGAAUGCCAGUCAAGUCACCUCGAAUUGAGUUAAUUUUAUUUAAUCAAUCCCUUUCAGAAGCAAGUAUCGUAUUUUCUUCAUUCCAUAUUACUCAUCUGAAAAAAGUAUCUAACCACUCUUAAUUCUCCUCUACCCCCCUUAUUAACUCUGGCACGUAUUAUGCAUGAAGCUCUCUGCUCUGAACCAGCAUUUGUAAUAAUGGUAUACAUCAGGGCUCAAUGCUAGUUUCACCAUCAUUGUAAAUGAAAUAAUGACAAUUUGAGAACGGCACUCAUAUUUUCCCUCUA